rnacentral:rRNA from 1 species
AGCGAACGCUGGCGGUAGGCCUAACACAUGCAAGUCGAACGAACCUUUCGGGGUUAGUGGCGGACGGGUGAGUAACACGUGGGAACGUGCCUUUGGUUCGGGAUUACUUAGGGGAACUUGUUCUUAUACCGAAUGUGGCCCUCGGGGGAAAGAUUAAUCGCCUUUAGAGCGGCCCGCGUCUGAUUAGCUAGUUGGUUGAGGUAAUGGCUCACCAAGGCGACGAUCAGUAGCUGGUCUGAGAGGAUGAUCAGCCACAUUGGGACUGAGACACGGCCCAAACUCCUACGGGAGGCAGCAGUGGGGAAUCUUGCGCAAUGGCGAAAGCCUGACGCAGCCAUGCCGCGUGAAUGAUGAAGGUCUUAGGAUUGUAAAAUUCUUUCACCGGGGACGAUAAUGACGGUACCCGGAGAAGAAGCCCCGGCUAACUUCGUG